GUCUACGGCCAUGCCACCCUGAAUAAGCCCGAUGUCUGAUCUCGGAAGCUAAGGAGGGUCAGGCCUGGUUAGUAUUUACUUAGAUGGGAGACCACCUAGGAAGACCAAGUGCUAUAGGCA
rnacentral:rRNA from 1 species